CCUACGGGCGGCUGCAGUGAGGAAUAUUGGUCAAUGGACGAGAGUCUGAACCAGCCAAGCCGCGUGAAGGAUGACUGCCCUAUGGGUUGUAAACUUCUUUUAUAUGGGAAUAAAAUGUUCCACGUGUGGGAUUUUGUAUGUACCAUAUGAAUAAGGAUCGGCUAACUCCGUGCCAGCAGCCGAGGUAAUACGGAGGAUACGAGCGUUAUCCGGAUUUAUUGGGUUUAAAGGGAGCGUAGGUGGCUUGUUAAGUCAGUUGUGAAAGUUUGCGGCUCAACCGUAAAAUUGCAGUUGAAACUGGCAGUCUUGAGUACAGUAGAGGUGGGCGGAAUUCGUGGUGUAGCGGUGAAAUGCUUAGAUAUCACGAAGAACCCCGAUUGCGAAGGCAGUUCACUGGACUGCAACUGACACUGAGGCUCGAAAGUGUGGGUAUCAAACAGGAUUAGAUACCCUUGUAGUC
rnacentral:rRNA from 1 species